GAUGAAGAACGUAGCGAAAUGCGAUAAGUAAUGUGAAUUGCAGAAUUCAGUGAAUCAUCGAAUCUUUGAACGCACAUUGCGCCCCUUGGUAUUCCGAGGGGCAUGCCUGUUCGAGCGUCAUUAUAACCCCUCAAGCUCAGCUUGGUGUUGGGGCCUGCUGCACUGGCAGCCCUUAAAAUCAGUGGCGGCGCCAUCUGGCUCUAAGCGUAGUAAUUCUUCUCGCUAUGGAGUCCUGGUGGAUGCUUGCCAUCAACCCCCAAUUUUUCUAUGGUUGACCUCGGAUCAGGUAGGGACACCCGCUGAACUUAAGCAUAUCAAUAAGCGGAGGA
rnacentral:misc_RNA from 1 species